UACGUAGGCAGCAAGCGUUGUUCGGAAUUACUGGGCGUAAAGAGUGUGUAGGCGGUGUUCUAAGUUUGUCGUGAAAUCUCCCGGCUUAACUGGGAGGGUGCGGCGAAAACUGGAAUGCUAGAGGAUGGGAGAGGUAAGCGGAAUUCCUGGUGUAGCGGUGAAAUGCGUAGAUAUCUGGAGGAACACCGGUGGCGAAGGCGGCAUCCUGGACCGGCAUUGACGCUGAACAGCGAAAGCCAGGGGAGCAAACGGG
rnacentral:rRNA from 1 species